rnacentral:rRNA from 1 species
UACGGAGGGUGCAAGCGUUAUCCGGAUUCACUGGGUUUAAAGGGUGCGUAGGUGGGUUGCCAAGUCCGUGGUGAAAUCUCCGAGCUUAACUCGGAAACUGCCGUGGAUACUGGUAAUCUUGAAUAUCGUGGAGGUAAGCGGAAUAUGUCAUGUAGCGGUGAAAUGCUUAGAUAUGACAUAGAACACCGAUAGCGGAGGCAGCUUGCUACACGAUCAUUGACACUGAGGCACGAAAGCGUGGGGAGCAAACAGG